rnacentral:rRNA from 1 species
AUUCCAGCUCCAAUAGCGUAUAUUAAAGUUGUUGCAGUUAAAACGCUCGUAGUCGGAUUUCGGGGCCUGCCUGCCGGUCUGCCGAUGGGUAUGCACUGGCAGGCGCGUCCUUCCUUCCGGAGACUGUCCCUACUCUUAACUGAGCGGGGUCGGGAGACGGAUCGUUUACUUUGAAAAAAUCAGAGUGUUUCAAGCAGGCAGCUCGCUCUUGCAUGGAUUAGCAUGGGAUAAUGAAAUAGGACUUUGGUGCUAUUUUGUUGGUUUCGAACACCGAAGUAAUGAUUAACAGGGACAGUUGGGGGUAUUCAUAUUUACAUGUCAGAGGUGAAAUUCUUGGAUUUUGGAAAGAUGAACGACUGCGAAGGCAUUUACCAAGGAUGUUUUCAUCA